UCGAGCGGAAACGAGUUAUCUGAACCUUCGGGGAACGAUAACGGCGUCGAGCGGCGGACGGGUGAGUAAUGCCUAGGAAAUUGCCCUGAUGUGGGGGAUAACCAUUGGAAACGAUGGCUAAUACCGCAUGAUGCCUACGGGCCAAAGAGGGGGACCUUCGGGCCUCUCGCGUCAGGAUAUGCCUAGGUGGGAUUAGCUAGUUGGUGAGGUAAGGGCUCACCAAGGCGACGAUCCCUAGCUGGUCUGAGAGGAUGAUCAGCCACACUGGAACUGAGACACGGUCCAGACUCCUACGGGAGGCAGCAGUGGGGAAUAUUGCACAAUGGGCGCAAGCCUGAUGCAGCCAUGCCGCGUGUGUGAAGAAGGCCUUCGGGUUGUAAAGCACUUUCAGUCGUGAGGAAGGUGGUGUAGUUAAUAGCUGCAUUAUUUGACGUUAGCGACAGAAGAAGCACCGGCUAACUCCGUGCCAGCAGCCGCGGUAAUACGGAGGGUGCGAGCGUUAAUCGGAAUUACUGGGCGUAAAGCGCAUGCAGGUGGUUUGUUAAGUCAGAUGUGAAAGCCCGGGGCUCAACCUCGGAAUAGCAUUUGAAACUGGCAGACUAGAGUACUGUAGAGGGGGGUAGAAUUUCAGGUGUAGCGGUGAAAUGCGUAGAGAUCUGAAGGAAUACCGGUGGCGAAGGCGGCCCCCUGGACAGAUACUGACACUCAGAUGCGAAAGCGUGGGGAGCAAACAGGAUUAGAUACCCUGGUAGUCCACGCCGUAAACGAUGUCUACUUGGAGGUUGUGGCCUUGAGCCGUGGCUUUCGGAGCUAACGCGUUAAGUAGACCGCCUGGGGAGUACGGUCGCAAGAUUAAAACUCAAAUGAAUUGACGGGGGCCCGCACAAGCGGUGGAGCAUGUGGUUUAAUUCGAUGCAACGCGAAGAACCUUACCUACUCUUGACAUCCAGAGAACUUUCCAGAGAUGGAUUGGUGCCUUCGGGAACUCUGAGACAGGUGCUGCAUGGCUGUCGUCAGCUCGUGUUGUGAAAUGUUGGGUUAAGUCCCGCAACGAGCGCAACCCUUAUCCUUGUUUGCCAGCGAGUAAUGUCGGGAACUCCAGGGAGACUGCCGGUGAUAAACCGGAGGAAGGUGGGGACGACGUCAAGUCAUCAUGGCCCUUACGAGUAGGGCUACACACGUGCUACAAUGGCGCAUACAGAGGGCGGCCAACUUGCGAAAGUGAGCGAAUCCCAAAAAGUGCGUCGUAGUCCGGAUUGGAGUCUGCAACUCGACUCCAUGAAGUCGGAAUCGCUAGUAAUCGUGGAUCAGAAUGCCACGGUGAAUACGUUCCCGGGCCUUGUACACACCGCCCGUCACAACCAUGGGAGUGGGCUGCAAAAGAAGUAGGUAGUUU
rnacentral:rRNA from 1 species